GACAGAGGGUGCAAACGUUGUUCGGAAUUACUGGGCGUAAAGCGCGUGUAGGCUGCUUGGAAAGUCGGAUGUGAAAGCCCCGGGCUCAACCUGGGAAGUGCAUUCGAAACUUCCGAGCUGGAGUCCUGGAGAGGAAGGCGGAAUUCUCGGUGUAGAGGUGAAAUUCGUAGAUAUCGAGAGGAACACCGGUGGCGAAGGCGGCCUUCUGGAC
rnacentral:rRNA from 1 species